rnacentral:rRNA from 1 species
GUGGGGAAUCUUGCGCAAUGGGCGAAAGCCUGACGCAGCCAUGCCGCGUGAAUGAUGAAGGUCUUAGGAUUGUAAAAUUCUUUCACCGGGGACGAUAAUGACGGUACCCGGAGAAGAAGCCCCGGCUAACUUCGUGCCAGCAGCCGCGGUAAUACGAAGGGGGCUAGCGUUGCUCGGAAUUACUGGGCGUAAAGGGCGCGUAGGCGGACAGUUUAGUCAGAGGUGAAAGCCCAGGGCUCAACCUUGGAAUUGCCUUUGAUACUGGCUGUCUUGAGUGCGGGAGGGGGGAGUGGAACUCCGAGUGUAGAGGUGAAAUUCGUAGAUAUUCGGAAGAACACCAGUGGCGAAGGCGACUCACUGGCCCGUUACUGACGCUGAGGCGCGAAAGCGUGGGGAGCAAACAGGAUUAGAAACCCGGGUAGUCC